rnacentral:ncRNA from 1 species
AGAAAGACGUUGAUGGAAAAUAGUAAACGUUCCGGCUCAGUACAGAAAAUCGUUUAAAUGUUGGAAAAACGAUCACGGCUAAACGUUGAAUUCACUUCCGGAGUCGACUUUGGGCGUAAAUACAAAAAAAGUUCCGGCACAGACCGUUACCCUGACUGAGUGUAUAAGUGAUUUCGAUUGCUUAUGAACUAGGGUGGUAACGCGAUGCCUCGUCCCUUGA